rnacentral:rRNA from 1 species
AUUUCACCACUCAAGCCUGGCUUGGUAUUGGGCGUCGCGGCUCCGCGCGCCUUAAAGUCUCCGGCUGAGCCAUUCGUCUCUAAGCGUUGUGGAUUUUCUAAUUCGCUUCGGAGUGCGGGUGGCCGCGGCCGUUAAAUCUUUAUUCAAAGG